rnacentral:rRNA from 1 species
UACGUAGGGUGCAAGCGUUAAUCGGAAUUACUGGGCGUAAAGCGUGCGCAGGCGGUUGGGCAAGACAGGUGUGAAAUCCCCGGGCUUAACCUGGGAACUGCAUUUGUGACUGCACAGCUGGAGUGCGGAAGAGGGGGAUGGAAUUCCGCGUGUAGCAGUGAAAUGCGUAGAUAUGCGGAGGAACACCGAUGGCGAAGGCAAUCCCCUGGGCCUGCACUGACGCUCAUGCACGAAAGCGUGGGGAGCAAACAGG